UAGUUUUGUGAGCCAAUGCUAACUAGCAUUAGCACUAUGACUGGAAGUCUAUGGGUAUCUAGUAGGAUGCUAAGCAGAUACCCAUAGACUUCCAGACUUCCACAACACCCUAGGUAAGUUGAAAAUAAGCUAAACCUUCAAAAAAGUGAUCUGUCCCUUUAAUACUUUGAACAAUUAUACAGAUGCAGUACAUUUGGAUUGCUGCACUUGUUUGGGGGAAAGCUUUUCAUCAUAAUCUCGGUCUCCCUCUCCUUCCUUUCUCUUUCCAGGCUCUGGUAUCUUGCUCUUACUUUUCCUUGCUAACUUCCUGAGGUGAGAUCACAGCCAGGCUGUGCAGGCACUACAGUGUUCAUGCCAUGGUGCUUAACGACAUGUUCCAGCUGCCCAUCUUCCUGGACAGUCACUUCAUCUACUCAUUCAGCCCAGUGCCAGGCAUCAACAAACUGUUAAUUUGCCUGGCAGAGUCACCUACACACACAGCCUAACUCAUAGCCAUGGUGAGAGGGGCUCUAGUCCAAGUUAUUGUAAAAGACUGACAAGUUGUUAAAAGGGCUAAAUAAAUAACAUUUUAUUGAUGGACUCCUCUCUCCCCAGGUGAAGCUUCUCGUCUGUGCAUACCAUGUUCAGCUACAGUGAGUUCAGAGUUCACAAGUUGUGUGGAUCCCAAGCACAGAAUGGGAGAUAAAACACACAAACACUGAGUUUACAUAACGUAAAUUGACUAGGUGAAUCCACGUGAAAGCUAUGAUCCCUCGAGACAAUUGAGACAUGGAUUGUGUAUGUGUGGCAUUCAGAGGGUGAAUGGGUAAGACACAAACAUAUAAGUGCUUUGAGCAGGGUCAAUAACUGCAACGCUGCUGGGUUGUUCACACUCAACCGUUUCCAGUGUGUAUCAAAAAUGACCAGUAGCCUGGUGCAUAACUGUGGGAAGCAUUGGAGUCACCAUGGGCCAGUAUCCCUGUGAAACACUUUCGACACCUUGUGAAGUCCAUGCCCUCGAUGAAUUGAUUCUGUUCUGAAGGUAAAAGGGGUUGCAACUCAAUAUUAGGAAGGUGUUCCUAAUGUUUUGUGCACUGUGUAGAUGCAUGCAUAAUCACAAAACAUGAAGAACAGUUUGAGCCACACUCCAGGCUACCUUCAGAUAAAGUUGUUGGACAUUCAGCAUCCACACAGAGUUUGAGACACUGUUUCUGUGGCAGAGGAUUAAAGGACAAGAACAGAAACAA